rnacentral:hammerhead_ribozyme from 1 species
AUUCAGCUAACGAGUCCCGAAUACGACGAAACUCGCGUCCUGGAU